CUUAGCAUCAGACCUGGCAGUUUUGGGCUUUGGGCAUUCUCUUCAGAUUACUGUAUUAUUUCUGCCUUUGAAGGAAGCAUGCAAGAUACUACGUUGCAAAGAAGGAUUAGGGAUAACUAUCAUGACAUCUUCACAAUGUAUAGAUCCAAUAGGAAAAUGCACCCUUCAGGACAGUGGAAAAGCCCAGGAUAGACUGAUUCCUGUAAAGCUGGAAGGAAUUAUCAUUGCUUAAGGUGUGUAUUUUAAUAUAGUUCCAAAGAGAAUGUUUACUGAGAGCCUGUGGUUCAUUGUAUUCCUUCAUUGCUUCUACCUACGUCAGGUUAAACAAGUUAUCAGGGCAUCACAAGUGUAUAACCUAACGCAAAGCCUGCUUUUCAUCUGGAGAGAGAGAAAGAAGACAGUCACCUUUUUAAAGCAACAUGUAUGAGGAAUCACUGGACUGACUGAAGAACCACACUAUUUAAAUCAGAAUAUGCUGUAUGAAAAGACUUUGUUUUCAUUAACAUGGUGAGCUUUUCUGCCAAACUAGCUGCAACUGAAUAUCCUGC
rnacentral:lncRNA from 1 species